rnacentral:rRNA from 1 species
CCUACGGGUGGCAGCAGUGGGGAGUAUUGGACAAUGGGGGGAACCCUGAUCCAGCCAUGCCGCGUGUGUGAAGAAGGCCUUUUGGUUGUAAAGCACUUUAAGCGAGGAGGAGGCUACCGAGAUUAAUACUCUUGGAUAGUGGACGUUACUCGCAGAAUAAGCACCGGCUAACUCUGUGCCAGCAGCCGCGGUAAUACAGAGGGUGCAAGCGUUAAUCGGAUUUACUGGGCGUAAAGCGCGCGUAGGUGGCCAAUUAAGUCAAAUGUGAAAUCCCCGAGCUUAACUUGGGAAUUGCAUUCGAUACUGGUUGGCUAGAGUAUGGGAGAGGAUGGUAGAAUUCCAGGUGUAGCGGUGAAAUGCGUAGAGAUCUGGAGGAAUACCGAUGGCGAAGGCAGCCAUCUGGCCUAAUACUGACACUGAGGUGCGAAAGCAUGGGGAGCAAACAGGAUUAGAUACCCUAGUAGUC